rnacentral:rRNA from 1 species
UACGGAGGGUGCGAGCGUUGUCCGGAAUCAUUGGGCGUAAAGGGCGCGUAGGUGGCCCGGUCAGUUCGUGGUGAAAGCCCCGGGCUCAACCUGGGAAUGGCGAUGGAUACUGGCUCGCUAGAGUGCGGUAGAGGAGAGUGGAAUUCCCGGUGUAGCAGUGAAAUGCGUAGAGAUCGGGAGGAACAUCAGUUGCGAAGGCGGCUCUCUGGACCAGCACUGACACUGAGGCACGAAAGCGUGGGGAGCAAACAGG